rnacentral:lncRNA from 1 species
CAAAGGGCUGCUUUUCUCUAUAUUCUUAAUGAGUUUCAAUAACUGAAAAGGUCACUUCACAGAAAUGUUAUAAACAGGAGGAAUCGUGAGUGCCCACCGGAAUGCCGGGGCUCAAUACACAUUCUGGUAAUUGAUUAAUUGCCUCUCCUCUCGGGUUAGUAACACACACAGGAAAUGACCAGGAUGACCACGAGGACUGCGAGUUGUUCGCUGGCCACAAUGUGAUUAUUGAAACCAGCUCUGUUCAGAUUACUGUGGCACAAAAGAUGGGAUGACUCUUCUUCUGAACCCUCCAAGAGAGAUUUCUUUGUUCACAUUUUUAUGGAUGAAGAAAAUGAAAGCCAGAUAGGUGAAAUGCCUGCAUCACACAGUCAUACAGCUAGUAUGACUGAGACUGUAUCACCAGCGGCUUAAAGACUGGCUCUUUCUCCCCCAGCAAGAAUGGGCCCGUGGCAAGCAUCCAUACCUGCAGUGGAGUAGACGGCAGCAGAAGGAUCCACACCUGCGAGAGGACAGAUGGUAGCAGCGCCGCCACAUGGUCCAGAAUGUGAUAAUAUCAUAGGAUGCUCCGUUGCUGUGGUUUUGCAUUUCUUU